rnacentral:rRNA from 1 species
AGAGUUUGAUCCUGGCUCAGGACGAACGCUGGCGGCAUGCCUAAUACAUGCAAGUCGAACGAGCUUCCGUUGAAUGACGUGCUUGCACUGAUUUUAACAAUGAAGCGAGUGGCGAACUGGUGAGUAACACGUGGGAAAUCUGCCCAGAAGCAGGGGAUAACACUUGGAAACAGGUGCUAAUACCGUAUAACAACAAAAUCCGCAUGGAUUUUGUUUGAAAGGUGGCUUCGGCUAUCACUUCUGGAUGAUCCCGCGGCGUAUUAGUUAGUUGGUGAGGUAGAGGCCCACCAAGACGAUGAUACGUAGCCGACCUGAGAGGGUAAUCGGCCACAUUGGGACUGAGACACGGCCCAAACUCCUACGGGAGGCAGCAGUAGGGAAUCUUCCACAAUGGACGAAAGUCUGAUGGAGCAAUGCCGCGUGAGUGAAGAAGGGUUUCGGCUCGUAAAACUCUGUUGUUAAAGAAGAACACCUUUGAGAGUAACUGUUCAAGGGUUGACGGUAUUUAACCAGAAAGCCACGGCUAACUACGUGCCAGCAGCCGCGGUAAUACGUAGGUGGCAAGCGUUGUCCGGAUUUAUUGGGCGUAAAGCGAGCGCAGGCGGUUUUUUAAGUCUGAUGUGAAAGCCUUCGGCUUAACCGGAGAAGUGCAUCGGAAACUGGGAGACUUGAGUGCAGAAGAGGACAGUGGAACUCCAUGUGUAGCGGUGGAAUGCGUAGAUAUAUGGAAGAACACCAGUGGCGAAGGCGGCUGUCUAGUCUGUAACUGACGCUGAGGCUCGAAAGCAUGGGUAGCGAACAGGAUUAGAUACCCUGGUAGUCCAUGCCGUAAACGAUGAGUGCUAAUGUGUUGGAGGGUUUCCGCCCUUCAGUGCUGCAGCUAACGCAUUAAGCACUCCGCCUGGGGAGUAC